rnacentral:rRNA from 1 species
GACGAACGCUGGCGGCGUGCUUAACACAUGCAAGUCGAACGGAAAGGCCCUGCUUUUGUGGGGUGCUCGAGUGGCGAACGGGUGAGUAACACGUGAGUAACCUGCCCUUGACUUUGGGAUAACUUCAGGAAACUGGGGCUAAUACCGGAUAGGAGCUCCUGCUGCAUGGUGGGGGUUGGAAAGUUUCGGCGGUUGGGGAUGGACUCGCGGCUUAUCAGCUUGUUGGUGGGGUAGUGGCUUACCAAGGCUUUGACGGGUAGCCGGCCUGAGAGGGUGACCGGCCACAUUGGGACUGAGAUACGGACCAGACGCCGACGGGAGGCAGCAGGGGGGAAGAUGGCACAAUGGGCGGAAGCCUGAUGCAGCAACGCCGCGUGCGGGAUGACGGCCUUCGGGUUGGAAACCGCUUUCGCCGGUGACGAAGCGGGAGUGACGGUAAUGGGUAAAGAAGCACCGGCUAACUACGUG